GACGUAGGGUGCGAGCGUUGUCCGGAUUUAUUGGGCGUAAAGAGCUCGUAGGCGGCUUGUUACGUCGGCUGUGAAAACCCGCGGCUCAACCGCGGGCCUGCAGCCGAUACGGGCAGGCUAGAGUUCGGUAGGGGAGACUGGAAUUCCUGGUGUAGCGGUGAAAUGCGUAGAUAUCGGGAGGAACACCGGUGGCGAAGGCGG
rnacentral:rRNA from 1 species